rnacentral:rRNA from 1 species
GUAGUGGGGGAUAGCCCGGCGAAAGCCGGAUUAAUACCGCAUACGCUCUAACGGAGGAAAGGGGGGGAUCUUAGGACCUCCCGCUACAGGGGCGGCCGAUGGCAGAUUAGCUAGUUGGUGGGGUAAAGGCCUACCAAGGCGACGAUCUGUAGCUGGUCUGAGAGGACGACCAGCCACACUGGGACUGAGACACGGCCCAGACUCCUACGGGAGGCAGCAGUGGGGAAUUUUGGACAAUGGGCGAAAGCCUGAUCCAGCAAUGCCGCGUGUGUGAAGAAGGCCUUCGGGUUGUAAAGCACUUUUGUCCGGAAAGAAAACGCC